CCUACGGGAGGCUGCAGUGAGGAAUAUUGGUCAAUGGGCGUAAGCCUGAACCAGCCAAGUCGCGUGAGGGAUGAAGGUUCUAUGGAUCGUAAACCUCUUUUAUAAGGGAAUAAAGUGCGGGACGUGUCCCGUUUUGUAUGUACCUUAUGAAUAAGGAUCGGCUAACUCCGUGCCAGCAGCCGCGGUAAUACGGAGGAUCCGGGCGUUAUCCGGAUUUAUUGGGUUUAAAGGGUGCGUAGGCGGCCUUUUAAGUCAGCGGGGAAAGUCUGUGGCUAAACCAUAGAAUUGCCGUUGAAACUGGGAGGCUUGAGUAUGUUUGAGGCAGGCGGAAUGCGUGGUGUAGCGGUGAAAUGCUUAGAUAUCACGCAGAACCCCGAUUGCGAAGGCAGCCUGCCAAGCCAUGACUGACGCUGAUGCACGAAAGCGUGGGGAUCAAACAGGAUUAGAUACCCUUGUAGUC
rnacentral:rRNA from 1 species